rnacentral:tRNA from 1 species
CGCGCCCGUAGUUCAGUGGAUAGAACACCGACCUUCUAAGUCGGCUGUCGCAGGUUCGAAUCCUGCCGGGCGCGU